rnacentral:piRNA from 1 species
UCUGUUUCUAUUAAUAGGCAACAAGUGCUC